AGCAGCCGCGGUAAUUCCAGCUCCAAUAGCGUAUAUUAAAGUUGUUGCAGUUAAAAAGCUCGUAGUUGAACUUCAGGCCUGUCCAGAUGGUCCGCCUUAAUUGGUGUGUACUGUCCUUGGGUGGGUCCUACCUUCUGGCGAAGCGGCAUGGCCUUAAUUGGUUGUGUUGGGGAACCAGGACUUUUUACUGUAGAAAAAUUAGAGUGUUCAAAGCAGGCAAAUAUGCUCGAAUACAUUAGCAUGGAAUAAUGGAAUAGGACGAUGGUUCUAUUUUGUUGGUUCUAGGACCGUUGUAAUGAUUAAUAGGGAUAGUUGGGGGCAGUUAGUAUUCAAUUGUCAGAGGUGAAAUUCUUGGAUUUAUUGAAGACUAACUACUGCGAAAGCAUUUGCCAAGGAUGUUUUCAUUAAUCAAGAACGAAAGUUAGGGGAUCGAAGACGAUCAGAUACCGUCGUAGUCUUAACCAUAAACUAUGACCGACUAGGAAUCGGGCGAUGUUGACAAAAUGACUCG
rnacentral:rRNA from 1 species